CAGUCGCCGCGGGAAUACGAAGGGGGCUAGCGUUGCUCGGAAUGACUGGGCGUAAAGGGCGCGUAGGCGGCGAUCAAAGUCAGGCGUGAAAUUCCUGGGCUCAACCUGGGGGCUGCGCUUGAUACUUGGUUGCUUGAGUGGGGAAGAGGGUCGUGGAAUUCCCAGUGUAGAGGUGAAAUUCGUAGAUAUUGGGAAGAACACCGGUGGCGAAGGCGGCGACCUGGUCCUUGACUGACGCUGAGGCGCGAAAGCGUGGGGAGCAAACAGGAUUAGAUACCCCUGUAGUCCCUGUCUCUUAUAA
rnacentral:rRNA from 1 species